GGGCGAGUGGUUUAGUGGUAUAAUUCCUCUUUAGCACCAGAAGAUCUUGUAGAUCGGAUUGGAUGAUUAGAGGCGGUCCGGGGUUCGAUUCCCCGCUUGUCCA
rnacentral:tRNA from 1 species